CACGAGUGGGAAUUAUAUAAAAUUUUCGAUUGCACGUGAAGGCAGCAUUGAUUGCUGUAAGAUGUUUACAUGACAUGAGCAGAACUCUUCAUUCCAGUUUACAUGCAAUUUUCAUUACUCUGAUUUUUAGCUAAAAAGUAUGGUUAUACCACAUAGCAUAAUUUCCUUAUAAUUACACAUCUUAAUGAGAAUUCAGCUCAAAAACAGAGAGCAUGCUUACUUUCGAAAACGCUUCUUAAUCUCGUUGAUCAGUAUGAAACACAUUUAUGGUUUUCCUAAAAAGCAUGUGACUUUCAGAAAAUGGGCGUUGGCUUCAGUAUAAAUCAGCUUCCUGAUCUAGUUAUCUGUCUAGUUCAUUUUUGCCAGUUGAAAAAGACGGACUGUUCAGCACAGAUAAUAUUCGUGAAACCGCUUUGUAAACUGGAAGACCCUCCAACUUUCAAACCAGUUAAGAAUCUCACUUGUCAUCAGAAGGGAACGACUCACACAAGUUCUUUAAUGCAAGAUUAACUGGAGGUUCGAGUUUUGAGGAUCUUCUCCUGCAGACAGGACACUCCUGAGUUGUUUUGGUUUUCCAGAACUGUUGAAGACACUCUUUACAGAAACUGUGACUACAGGACAGAAGAACAGGAGACUUGAAGAUUUCAGAGCACACCGAACAAGAAAGUUCUUCUCCAGAUACAUGCAGUGACGCCAUUUUGAGCUUCAGAGAUCUAAACUUUAUCUCUUACUUUCACUUUCUGAAUGAUAGUUUCAAAAAUGAAUAACCAUGAAAAUCAGAAAAAUCUGCUGUUUGUUCAGAAACAAAUUUCUCAUAAAUCCUUGUUGAAAUUUUCCUCCUUCAUUAAUUGCUCAUUCUGUUUUCUUUACUCAAGAAAGUAGAGAGUCAUGAAAGAGAAAUUACACGAUAGUCUCUUCCUGGUGUGGAAGUGUUGUUGAGUUCCUGGGUGUGUGCGAAACAGCAUGUCAAAGAACAACAACAUGGGUCAUGUUCACAAAAAAAAUCUUAAAGACACCUUGUGGUGAAAAUCAGUUUUUAAUGUUGUUUAUAUGUCUAUGUAGUGUUUUAAAUAUGCUUUAAAACAAACCAUGUGCAAAUUCA